UACAGAGGGUGCAAGCGUUAAUCGGAAUUACUGGGCGUAAAGCGCAUGUAGGUGGGUAUUUAAGUCGGAUGUGAAAGCCCCGGGCUCAACCUGGGAAUUGCAUUCGAUACUGAAUAUCUAGAGUAUGAUAGAGGGAAGUGGAAUUUCCGGUGUAGCGGUGAAAUGCGUAGAUAUCGGAAGGAACAUCAGUGGCGAAGGCGGCUUCCUGGAUCAAUACUGACACUAAAGUGCGAAAGCGUGGGGAGCAAACAGG
rnacentral:rRNA from 1 species